CCGUUAACUGAAGAAUAUAUCUUGAGUCAAAGGCUGAUCGAACGGCCUAGCCGCUUAAAUCAGCUAGAAAAAUAACCUAGCCGAAUUCCUCAGUCUGGAAACAACCGCGCAGUAGAGCGGGCGUAUGAAAAUCGCGCUCUGCAGAUUUUGAGUGCCGGGUUCUCUACCUCCUGGAUCCUGCGCUCCGGGUCCGCUUCCUCGUGCACCUGGAGUUCCAGGACGAGCGCUCCGUAGUUUCGGCGCUCCAGGUCCGCUACCUGGCGAAACUCGACUUCUAAGACGAGCGCUCCGUAGCUUUGGCGCUCCAGAUCCGCUACCUGGCGAAACUCGACUUCUAGGACAAAUGCUCCGUGGUUGCUGCGCUCCAGGUCCGCUACCAGGUGACACUCGACUUCAGGGACAAGAGGUGGAUAAGGAGGAGAAGAACGACGAAAACGAGGAGAUCAAGGUGGACUAGGAAAACGACGAUUUCUGCACGGUAUAAACCGAGGUGAUUGUCGGUGGUUAUGGGAGGUGGUUGGCGGUGGUUGGAGGUGGU